rnacentral:rRNA from 1 species
AUUGAACGCUAGCGGGAUGCUUUACACAUGCAAGUCGAACGAGUGGCGGACGGGUGAGUACUAUCUCUGCACGUGCCCAGUAGCGGGGGAUAACUACUCGAAAGAGUGGCUAAUACCGCAUACUAUUUGAGCUGCCGCUAUCGGAUUAGCUAGUUGGUGGGGUAAAGGCUCACCAAGGCAACGAUCCGUAGCUGGGUUGAGAGGACGACCAGCCAAACUGGGACUGAGACACGGCACAGACUCCUACGGGAGGCAGCAGGGGGGAAUUUUGGACAAUGGGGGAAACACUGAUCCAGCAAUCCCGCGUGUAUGAGAAGGCCUUCGGGUUGUAAAGUACUUUUGGCAGAGAAGCGGUAUCUGCAGAAUAAGCACCGGCUAACUACGUGCCAGCAGCCGCGGUAAUAC